GGCAAACGGGUGAGUAACACGUGGGUUACCUACCUCCAAGAUGGGGAUAACAGUUGGAAACGACUGAUAAUACCGAAUGUGCUCUACGGAGUAAAGAAGCCCUUAAAGCUUCGCUUGGAGAUGGGCCUGCGGCGCAUUAGCUAGUUGGUGAGGUAAUGGCCCACCAAGGCGACGAUGCGUAGCCGAACUGAGAGGUUGAUCGGCCACAUUGGGACUGAGACACGGCCCAGACUCCUACGGGAGACAGCAGUUAGGAAUAUUCGUCAAUGGGGGAAACCCUGAACGAGCAAUGCCGCGUGAGUGAUGACGGUCCUCUGGAUUGUAAAACUCUGUUGUUUAGGAAAAACUGUACAUACAGGAAAUGGUAUGUAAUUGAUGGUACUAUUC
rnacentral:rRNA from 1 species